rnacentral:lncRNA from 1 species
CAGCGAGUGCGGUUGGUGAUAACCGUCAAAAGUUGGCAAUGACCCCCCUCCCAUCCACAAAAACCAAAACAAAGCACCGCCAUUUUUGGGUCCUAAGCCUCUCCAUGGGACCCAGUGGCCAUACUCUCUGUAUAUAGGUACUCUAAUUGUCCAUAAGGAACUGUUGAAUCCCCGAAAGUAAUAUUUUCCACCUGUCGCUAGGAGGCCAGUGGAGGGUCUCUUGUCUCUGACAACGACGCUUCUCUACUUCAAAAAAGAAAACUUUUGUAUCAGUCCGGCAACAGUGAGUCCCUGUUGUUUUUCUUUGCGUCACGACACUAACCUUAAAUUUUUAUCUCACAAAAAAAGUCUAAAAAACCAUGAAAGAUUGAGACUAGAAGUUUGAAACAUUCCCGUGCUGUCUUGUCCCUCAUCCCUUUUCUUUUCCACUCUAUGGGACCUAAUGGUAUUAAUUUAGUUCAUCAAUCUCUCCCUGUCGGUGUCUAAGGUAGUGCCGUAUACCAAAUCUUCAUGCAACACACAAAGUUCCCUCAGUCGUUUGAGAUGAGAUGUCUCUUUUCGCAUAAUCAGGAAUGUCAGAGCUAAUUUUUGGAACUGGCCUUGGAUCUUUCAUUUUAAUUGCUGUUUGGUGCCUGGCUGUUGUCCUUUGCUUCAUUUCAUUACGAACGCAACGGAGUAUUGGUCUGGUGUCUAUCCUGUGCGCUUGUUUCAUCACUUGCAUUCUUUUGUCAAUCCCCCGUGGUAAUUUUCAAGAGAGAAGAGCCCCAAGGAGAUUUAUGAUGGAAUAUUCAUUUGGCGCUCAAGCCUUCUAG